ACUCCUACGGGAGGCAGCAGUGGGGAAUAUUGCACAAUGGGCGCAAGCCUGAUGCAGCAACGCCGUGUGAGUGAAGAAGGUUUUCGGAUCGUAAAACUCUGUCCUAAGGGAAGAAACAAAUGACGGUACCUUAGGAGGAAGCCCCGGCUAACUACGUGCCAGCAGCCGCGGUAAUACGUAGGGGGCAAGCGUUAUCCGGAAUCACUGGGCGUAAAGGGUGCGUAGGCGGCUUAGCAAGCCAGGGGUGAAAGGCAUUGGCUCAAACCAAAUGUAAGCCUUUGGAACUGUUAAGCUUGAGUGCAGGAGAGGUAAGUGGAAUUCCU
rnacentral:rRNA from 1 species